rnacentral:rRNA from 1 species
AUGACGCUGCCAGAGCUGCGAUGCAGCAGUCGCCAGAGCUGUGAUGUAGUGGCCAUCGGAGUCGAUGCUGCUGGAGCUGCGGUCCUCGACGCCGCCAGAGCUGCAUUGCAGGGGCCACGACACCGCCGGAGCUACGAUGGAGCAGUCGUCGACGCCGCCGGAGCUGCUAUGCAGCAGUCACGACGUAGCCGGAGCUGUGAUGUAGUGGCCAUAGGAGUCGAUGCUGCCGGAGCUUCGCCGCCAGAGCUGCGAUGUAGCGGUCGUCGCCGGAGCUGCAAUGCAGCGGAAGUCGACGUCGCCGGAGCUGCAAUGCAACGGCCACGACGCGACUGA